UAGGACUAUGGUAAGAUAGGUGAUUAGAAGUAAACAGACAGAGACUUUAUGGAAUCAGGACUAUAGUAAGACAGGUGAUUAGAAGCACAGUGAUGUCAACUAAGAUCAGGCGAAAAAAAUCAAAAACACAGAACCUUCCACCUAAU